rnacentral:rRNA from 1 species
UCGGGAAUUUUGGGCAAUGGGCGAAAGCCUGACCCAGCAACGCCGCGUGAAGGAUGAAGUAUUUCGGUAUGUAAACUUCGAAAGAAUAGGAAGAAUAAAUGACGGUACUAUUUAUAAGGUCCGGCUAACUACGUGCCAGCAGCCGCGGUAAUACGUAGGGACCAAGCGUUGUUCGGAUUUACUGGGCGUAAAGGGCGCGUAGGCGGCAAUUCAAGUCAUCUGCGAAAUCUCCGGGCUUAACUCGGAACGGUCAGAUGAUACUGCUUUGCUAGAGUGCAGAAGGGGCAAUCGGAAUUCUUGGUGUAGCGGUGAAAUGCGUAGAUAUCAAGAGGAACACCUGAGGUGAAGACGGGUUGCUGGGCUGACACUGACGCUGAGGCGCGAAAGCCAGGGGAGCAAACGGGAUUAGAUACCCGGGUAGUCCCUGAGCGGGCUGGCAAGGCGCAU